GGAGGCAGUGCCAGGCAGGACCCAGCAUGGACACGAGGGCCCCCACUCAGCUGCUGGGGCUCCUGCUGCUCUGGCUCCCAGGUGCCAUAUGUGACCCUGUGCUGACCCAGACUCCAUCUUCCGCGUCUGAACCUGUGGGAGGCACAGUCACCAUCAAGUGCCAGGCCAGUGAGAGCAUUAGUAGUAGAUUAGCCUGGUAUCAGCAGAAACCAGGGCAGCCUCCCAAGCUCCUGAUCUAUUCUGCAUCCACUCUGGCAUCUGGGGUCUCAUCGCGGUUCAAAGGCAGUGGAUCUGGGACACAGUUCACUCUCACCAUCAGCGACCUGGAGUGUGCCGAUGCUGCCACUUACUACUGUCAAAACAAUAAUGGUGGUAGUGGUAGUACUGGUUCCACAGUGAUACAAGCCCUAAGAAAAACCAGCAGGAAAGCAGAAGUGUGAGGCUGGGCUGCCCCA